AACAGAGCAGUGCUUAGGUGUCACCUAUCCCUGAUCCACCCUUCCUCAGCUCCAUGCCAGAGGAACAGGGUCCAGAAGGUGGUGCAGUUGCAUGGCUUACAGCAUGGCAGUCAUCAGCAUCUUCCUCUUUGAGAAGUAAUUGGGAAUGCUGAAAUGACUCCUUACAUCCUCACCAUGAUCAGCCCAUCUCCUAACAAGGCCAAGGGGAGUUUCAGCUGAGACAGCCUUCAGGAUCUGACCUAUUUCAUCUGUGACAUACAGCACUGUGAACUCUCGCCUGCCAAAUUCCAAGGGCUUGAUUUUUGGAAGAAAAAAACGUAUUUCUUGGCCUCUUAGAUUUUCUUAAAGGAAUGCAGGUAAUUGUUUUCAGUUAUAUGGCAUAUACACGUUGGGAGUUAAAAUUUGCUCCUGUGAUAAUUGUUUAGAAGAGGAGACUGUUUGACUCUUGUCUGAUCGCUUCAGUGGCACUGUGGUGUGUGUAGACAUACUGGAGAUCUCUUCACUAAGAUGCUACCAGGGAGAAAGGUCAUAGAAUGAGCUAAUUACAGACCAAAUAUCACUGGUUUUAAAAAAGUGUCAUUUACAAUACAUGCUUCUUAUUUUACUGUUGAGAAUACUAAGUGGUGACAGUAGAACCUGUGCCCAAAAGACAUUAAAAUUGUUUCUCUGAGGUACUUUCUAAAUCAGCAUUCAAUCUAUUCAUUCAAUCGACUCUGUAUAACAACAAAUUUCUAUAAGCUAGAAAUGACAAUAGUGGUCCUUAAAUUAUUCAUAUGAUGUUAAAUUGCCCCUAUUAACACAAAAACAGCCGACAAGUUUGCCUUGAGUUUGUACAACUGGAUCUCAGCUCUGGUCCACUUGAAAACAGAAAAGGACUUUAAUAAUUUUGAGGCUCUGUGAUUCUCAUGGGAACAUAAGAUAUCUUAAAAGGAAAUUAAUAACAAUGAAGCAAAAUCUGUUCACAACAGAGAGCUAAAGGGGCAGGUUAAGUUACCUUUUUAUUGUA